UUCCUGUUUGGUAUUUUUUUU
rnacentral:piRNA from 1 species